GUCCACGCCGUAAACGAUGGAUACUAGCUGUUGGGGGUAACUUCAGUGGCUAAGCGAAAGUGAUAAGUAUCCCACCUGGGGAGUACGUUCGCAAGAAUGAAACUCAAAGGAAUUGACGGGGGCCCGCACAAGCGGUGGAGCAUGUGGUUUAAUUCGAUGAUACGCGAGGAACCUUACCAAGGCUUAAAUGUAGAUUGACAGAUUUGGAAACAGAUUUUUCUUCGGACAAUUUACAAGGUGCUGCAUGGUUGUCGU
rnacentral:rRNA from 1 species